GAGGGUAUAGCUCAGUGGUAGAGUGCGUGCCUAGCAUGCACAAGGUCCUGAGUUCAAUCCCUAGUAUCUCUA
rfam:Camelus ferus unplaced genomic scaffold scaffold307, whole genome shotgun sequence.